rnacentral:rRNA from 1 species
AGAACGAACGCUGGCGGCAGGCCUAACACAUGCAAGUCGAACGCAACUUCGGUUGAGUGGCGCACGGGUGAGUAACGCGUGGGAACCUGUCCUGUGGUACGGAAUAACAUCGGGAAACUGGUGCUAAUACCGUAUAUCCCCUGAGGGGGAAAGAUUUAUCGCCAUAGGAGGGGCCCGCGUAGGAUUAGCUAGUUGGUGAGGUAACGGCUCACCAAGGCGACGAUCCUUAGCUGGUCUGAGAGGAUGAUCAGCCACACUGGGACUGAGACACGGCCCAGACUCCUACGGGAGGCAGCAGUGGGGAAUAUUGGACAAUGGGCGAAAGCCUGAUCCAGCCAUGCCGCGUGUGUGAUGAAGGCCUUCGGGUUGUAAAGCACUUUCGCACGUGACGAUGAUGACGGUAACGUGAGAAGAAGCCCGGCUAACUUCGCGCCAGCAGCCGC